rnacentral:rRNA from 1 species
UACGAAGGGGGCUAGCGUUGUUCGGAAUUACUGGGCGUAAAGCGCGCGCAGGCGGCUAUCCAAGUCAGUGGUGAAAGCCCGGGGCUCAACCCCGGGUCGGCCGUGCGGACUGCCGGGCUGGAGCACUGUAGAGGCAGGUGGAAUUCCGGGUGUAGCGGUGGAAUGCGUAGAGAUCCGGAAGAACACCGGUGGCGAAGGCGGCCUGCUGGGCAGUGGCUGACGCUGAGGCGCGACAGCGUGGGGAGCAAACAGG